UCCUGGGGGCAUCGUUUUCAUUGCUGAGCUGCGAUCAUCAUUGUCAUUAAUACUCGUGUGAAUUCAGUCUAUACAAACGCGCGUGGAGUCUGCCAAAACCAAAAACAUUAAGAUUGAACGUCAUUGGUUGCAAUGGUUUUAAAACUUGUGUGUUCAUAAAAUAUAUAUUUCACAAGAACAGAAUUAAAAACUAGCCUCAAACUAUUUCUCGGUGUAUUUCGUAAUGAAUCCAUUUACUAAAUUUUAAAUGUAUAGAUGCUAAAUCAAACUUACUCAUAAAGCUGAUCAAAGUAGGGAUCAUUCGGUUAGAGACAAUAUCAAAUAUGUAAAGCAUGAGAGGAGAAACAACUCCACCCUGUUUAAGGGCUUUACCUGGGUCCAAUAUAAUGUUUUCUGCUACUAUUUAAUCUGUAAGGCUUGGAGCCCAGCAUGCGAUGCUGGUUUCAUCCACUUCUGUACAUGCAGACAUUGUUUCAAGCUUUUGGCAUGCGUGGCUAGAGCAGGAUGCAACCUAUUGACUUUACAUUAGAGGGUGCCUGAAUAGCCAAGAACUCUUGAAAACACCUGAAUUUACAAAUCUCACAGUAAAAAGGUUACAAAAUAUUGAUAGGCUAAGGGUUCCUAAGUGAAAAAAAAACUCCAGAAAGGAUCCUGUCUGAAGUAUUUUGAUAUUCUACUCCAGCUCCAUGUUAUUUUGCAGAUACUAUCAAUUGGUCCCAUUUGCCUUUCUGCACUUUAUCUUUCUGUACUCCCUUCUUCUUCCCCAUCCCCUUCCCCACUCCCCUUACAUGGCCUAUCGACAUCUAUGAGCAUCAGCGACAACGGCAACAACCAAAAUGAAGAUGAAUUGAUAGGACCAUGUAUUUCUAUCUGCAGUAUUUUGAACAAAAAGUAUAAAAAAGUUUCAAAAGAUCUCAAAUAAAAAAUAUUGGAUUGCUUUGAAAGGAUAGAAACCUCCAAAAUCCUGCAUGUAGCUUUAUUAACCAAUUGCUUAAAAUUGUAGCCUCUGAAGCUAUAUUGAGAAUUUAAGAACAACACCUAAAAAUUAAUUGGUCAUCAACUAACUAUAAUAAAUGGUCAAAAAUAUUAGGUUGAUCAAGUUUGAUUAAUGAAUUUAUGUAUGACUCUUGGAGGGGCUAUAAAUUAAGUUCAGGUAAUUAUAAAGGGAAAUUAGCUUUAUGUUGUUCAACCUCAGACCAGUCGUAAAAGAGCAGGAUUUUCAAGCUCAGAAGAUAAGCUAGAUAGAGUUGUUCAAGCUUAAGUCAUGCCCUACUGGUGUUAGUCUUCACGAACUUUCAUAAAAGUAUCACUCCCCUACUGGUGUGAGUCCAUGCACCUUGUACGGAUUGAUGCAGUCCUAUACUAUACUGACAACCAUAGUUUGAGUAUGGGAUUCUUAUCAGACAGAAGACCUAUACGAACUUUUUUCAUGGAACAAUUUGUUGUGCAUUACCAAGUGUCCUGAAGUCUGAUUCAUAACCACAAGAGCUUAGGUCUACGGAAUGCCUGUAAAGGGGCCGGCAUUCCAAAGCUUAUAUAGUCAGAAGUUAUGUUUCAACCCUCUUCUUAAAGAAUCAAGCUUGUAAGAGUCUCAUGGCAGAAAGGCAAAGUCACCAGAUAGACAUUAGAAGUGACAGCACUAAACUCUGGAUUUAAGGACCCAAUACCCCUGUUCAAUAUUAUUUAUCAUCUCCACUUGUUUAUAUUCUGUUUGUUAUUGUUAAUCCAGAAUGUGAUAUUGCCUCUGGGCUUCCAACCUGUAAUCCAAGAAAUAAUUCAAAGAUGUAAUUAACAAAUGCCAAUACAGUGGCCCCAAAAGUGUGUCAUCUCUAUCUUAAAUUUAUAAAAUCCCAAGAUAGUUGGUUGUUUCUUGCAGCAUUAUUGCAGACACAAAAUAGAUUGCAUUCUUGUUGCGGAGCAGUUAUUGAAUAAAUGAUUACUCUUUUUGCAAGUGAUUAGGUGUUGGUGGUAAGGAUUAUAUUUGUUUAUUUAGACCAACAAUUAAGAGAUUUAUGAUGUGACUUUGUAUGAUUGAAUGGUCAAAACAAAUCAAUUAUUUCACAUGACCAUCAGAAAAAUAAAUUCUCAGUGAGUACAUAUAUUUUCUGCAUAAACAGAUACACAAUCGCAAUCACACAAAUGACAAAAAAUACUUGACUUCCAGAGUUAUGCAUCAAACAGAUUCACAAACAGAUACAUCGAACUCCAAUGUUAUGCUUCUCUGUACAACAUAACUAUUAAACAGAUUGGCAAAUAUUAAAUAUAAACCCUGUUCUUUCCUUUGAAAAAAAGGAACUGAUAACCCAAGAAAAGAACAUGAUAUACAUUUUUAAACUAUGGGAUGCCUCUAGUAAGACAUGAAGAAAACAAAGAGGAGGAGGAGAAGGAGGAGGAGGAGGAGGCUUACCUCAGACGAUGGCGAGGUCGACGGCGGCGGAGAAGUGGAAUCUUCGAU
rnacentral:lncRNA from 1 species